GCACCCAUAGCUCAGCUGGAUAGAGUACUCGGCUACGAACCGAGCGGUCGGAAGUUCGAAGCUUCCUGGGUACACCA
rnacentral:tRNA from 1 species